rnacentral:rRNA from 1 species
CCUACGGGUGGCAACAGUGGGGAAUAUUGGACAAUGGGGGGAACCCUGAUCCAGCCAUGCCGCGUGUGUGAAGAAGGCCCUCGGGUUGUAAAGCACUUUCAGUGAGGAAGAACGCCUGGUGGUUAAUACCCAUCAGGAAAGACAUCACUCACAGAAGAAGCACCGGCUAACUCCGUGCCAGCAGCCGCGGUAAUACGGAGGGUGCGAGCGUUAAUCGGAAUUACUGGGCGUAAAGCGCGCGUAGGUGGCUUGAUAAGCCGGUUGUGAAAGCCCCGGGCUCAACCUGGGAACGGCAUCCGGAACUGUCAAGCUAGAGUGCAGGAGAGGAAGGUAGAAUUCCCGGUGUAGCGGUGAAAUGCGUAGAGAUCGGGAGGAAUACCAGUGGCGAAGGCGGCCUUCUGGACUGACACUGACACUGAGGUGCGAAAGCGUGGGUAGCAAACAGGAUUAGAUACCCGGGUAGUC